AGGAAGCAAUUUUUCGAAAAAGAUUGAGAAACAUGUUGUCAGUACAGAUUUGGAUAUAAGGUUUGGGUUGGUGGCUGAUGCUACUUCUGCUGCUUCAGGCGCUCAUGACGUUGUUCAUGAUUAUAAUACCAUUACUAUUGAUAAGGACUAUGAUGGUGAAAGUGAUAGUUGCAGAAGUGAUACAAUAUUUUCUCCCACCUUCCAUA
rnacentral:misc_RNA from 1 species